GCCAUAAAACGACAUCCAUGACGACUUUUAUGACAUAGUGCAUGUCCGCCAUGUUGGAUUCCAAAAUGGUCAUAAUUUUUGAAAUCUGCACUCCCUUAAACCUAUAAAACGACAUCCAUGACGACUUUUAUGACAUAGUGCAUGUCCGCCAUCUUGGAUUCCAAAAUGGACAUAAUUUUUGAAAUCUACACUCCCUUAAACCUAUAAAACGACAUCCAUGACGACUUUUAUGACAUAGUGCAUGUCCGCCAUCUUGGAUUCCAAAAUGGUCAUCAUUUUCGAAACUAGCACUCCCUAAAACCCAUAAAACGACAUCCAUGACGACUUUUAUGACAUAGUGCAUGUCCGCCAUCUUGGAUUCCAAAAUGGUCAUAAUUUUUGAAUUCUGCACUCCCUUAAACCUAUAAAACGACGUCCAUGACGACUUUUAUGACAUAGUGCAUGUCCGCCAUCUUGGAUUCCAAAAUGGUCACCAUUUUCGAAACUAGCACUCCCUAAAACCCAUAAAACGACAUCCAUGACGACUUAUGACAUAGUGCAUGUCCGCCAUCUUGGAUUCCAAAAUGGUCAUAAUUUUUGAAAUCUGCACUCCCUUAAACCUAUAAAACGACAUCCAUGACGACUUUUAUGACAUAGUGCAUGUCCGCCAUCUUGGAUUCCAAAAUGGUCAUCAUUUUCGAAACUAGCACUCCCUAAAACCCAUAAAACGACAUCCAUGACGACUUUUAUGACAUAGUGCAUGUCCGCCAUCUUGGAUUCCAAAAUGGUCAUAAUUUUUGAAAUCUGCACUCGCUUAAACCUAUAAAACGACAUCCAUGACGACUUUUAUGACAUAGUGCAUGUCCGCCAUCUUGGAUUCCAAAAUGGUCAUCAUUUUCGAAACUAGCACUCCCUAAAACCUAUAAAACGACAUCCAUGACGACUUUUAUGACAUAUGCAUGUCCGCCAUCUUGGAUUCAAAAAUGGUCAUCAUUUUCGAAACUAGCACUCCCUAAAACCUAUAAAACGACAUCCAUGACGACUUUUAUGACAUAGUGCAUGUCCGCCAUCUUGGAUUCCAAAAUGGUCAUAAUUUUUGAAAUCUGCACUCGCUUAAACCUAUAAAACGACAUCCAUGACGACUUUUAUGACAUAGUGCAUGUCCGCCAUCUUGGAUUCCAAAAUGGUCAUCAUUUUCGAAACUAGCACUCCCUAAAACCUAUAAAACGACAUCCAUGACGACUUUUAUGACAUAGUGCAUGUCCGCCAUCUUGGAUUCCAAAAUGGUCAUAAUUAUUGAAAUCUGCACUCGCUUAAACCUAUAAAACGACAUCCAUGACGACUUUUAUGACAUAGUGCAUGUCCGCCAUCUUGGAUUCCAAAAUGGUCAUCAUUUUCGAAACUAGCACUCCCUAAAACCUAUAAAACGACAUCCAUGACGACUUUUAUGACA